GUGAGGAAUAUUGGUCAAUGGACGCAAGUCUGAACCAGCCAAGUAGCGUGCAGGAUGACGGCCCUCUGGGUUGUAAACUGCUUUUAGUUGGGAAUAAAAAGAGGGACGUGUCCCUUAUUGUAUGUACCAUCAGAAAAAGGACCGGCUAAUUCCGUGCCAGCAGCCGCGGUAAUACGGAAGGUCCAGGCGUUAUCCGGAUUUAUUGGGUUUAAAGGGAGCGCAGGCGGCGGCGUAAGUCAGUUGUGAAAUCGUGCGGCUUAACCGUGCAAUUGCAGUUGAUACUGCGUCGCUUGAGUGCACACAGGGAUGUUGGAAUUCAUGGUGUAGCGGUGAAAUGCUUAGAUAUCAUGAAGAACUCCGAUCGCGAAGGCAUAUGUCCGGAGUGCAACUGACGCUGAGGCUCGAAAGUGUGGGUAUCAAACAGGAUUAGAAACCCUAGUAGUCC
rnacentral:rRNA from 1 species